rnacentral:misc_RNA from 1 species
GACUGUUGUUUUGGUGCUGAUUGCGCUCGUUCAAAGCGUGCAGACCAUCGGUGACACCAUCGCCCGGCGCCUGGACAAGCGCUCGCAACGUUCAUGAAUCAUUAUAGGGAGUUGUUUUCCAUGCGCACGCUUACGGCGUCUGUCUUUGCUCUUGCCGCGCUGAUCGGCGCGGCCCAGGCCGAAACCAUCAGGGUCGGUGUCA